rnacentral:lncRNA from 1 species
CAGUCUGUGUUCAAUGAGCUUAUAGUUUAGGGCCGGGGGAAAGACACCAUAGAAGUAACUCAAUAUAUAUGAAAUUGGAUGGGAUAUUGGUCCAAAGUUGUCUUUAUAUGCAAGUAGUUCACGUGGGUGGAUCAUAGCAUGUGGGGAGGGAAAGGAAAGUGUAAGAAAAUUGGGCAGUCAGGGAGGAAAGUCAGAAGACUCUCCCGGAGUACUAACUUGUGUAGGAAAUUUCCACUUUCCUUGCUGAGGGAAGUUCUGUGACUCAUUGGAACUUCCCUUGUUGACCCAGGACAGAUGGGGAAGCCAUUGAAAGAUGGCUCCGGGACAGGUUGGGGGCGGCCUCUGAUGUGAGAUCCCCUUUGUUUCAGAACAAAAUUAAGUGACAGAAACCUGUAAGGAAGCCAUCUGGUUGGUCUGGAGUGAAGGACAGAGAAGUCUAUGAGAUCACCGUACUUUGUGGUAUUCUGACUUUCUCAUUGCAUCCUCCAGGACAGAAGAGCCGGAGGUAACGCGUGGCGAGCAGACAGGGAGCAAUCGUUCGCCCGGCGUCUGUUCCGCCCUGCCGGGCACAGAGACAAAGGGGACGCCCCUCCCGCCCCGGGGAGGUUCCAUUCUCCCGGGGAAGCCAUCCUCGGUACAGAGAAAACCGUCCAAGGUUAUGGGGGGGGGGGGCGCUCACAGCUGGGGAUUAGGGAAGGGGAUGGAAAUGAAGAGAGGGAGAACAUGGCGUCUUUAAAGGAGUCAGGAAAAGCAGCCCCGGGAGCACCGCGGGCGGGGUGGGCAAAGGGGUGGCCACGGGCAAACGGGGCCUGGACAAGCCCAGGGGUCAGCGUGUGAAUAGUAGCCUGGAGGGGCUGCCAAGGGUUCAAUGCCAACCUGGGCGUGUCUCUUCUCCUAGAGGCAGAAGAGAGCCCGAACCGAGGGUGGGGGGAUCUUCCCCCCCUCUUCUUCCCUCACUUUCAUAAAACACAACAGCAUUUUUUCCCCAAAUACACACAAGAACGGUUUUAAGCGUUUUGUCUUUGAAAAACCUUGUGUUCCAAAGCUUUCUCCCUCUCCUGCCCCUCCCCAAGGCAGCAGCAAGCAAUCAUCUGGACGAAACUGUGCCAUUCUAAUAAAUAUAUUUCCAUAUUCCUUAUGCUGUGCAAGAA